GACAGCAGCCGCCGCGGUAAUACGUAGGUCCCGAGCGUUGUCCGGAAUGAUUGGGCGUAAAGCGCGCGCAGGUGGUUUAAUAAGUCUGAUGUGAAGCCCACGGCUCAACCGUGGAGGGUCAUUGGGAACUGUUAAACUUGAGUGCAGGAGAGAAAAGUGGAAUUCCUAGAGUAGCGGUGAAAUGCGUAGAGAUUAGGAGGAACACCAGUGGCGAAGGCGGCUUUUUGGCCUGUAACUGACACUGAGGCGCGAAAGCGUGGGGAGCAAACAGGAUUAGAUACCCCCGUAGUCCCUGUCUCUUAUACA
rnacentral:rRNA from 1 species